CAACAGCUUAAAACUCAAAGGACUUGGCGGUGCUUUACAUCCCUCUAGAGGAGCCUGUUCUAUAAUCGAUAAACCCCGAUAAACCUCACCAUCUCUUGCUAAUUCAGCCUAUAUACCGCCAUCUUCAGCAAACCCUAAAAAGGAAGAAAAGUAAGCACAAGUGUCUUAACACAAAAAAGUUAGGUCAAGGUGUAGCCUAUGAGAUGGGAAGCAAUGGGCUACAUUUUCUACAAUUAGAACACCCACGAAAAUCCUUAUGAAACUAAGCAUUCAAGGAGGAUUUAGCAGUAAAUUUGAGAAUAGAGAGCUCAAUUGAAUCGGGCCAUGAAGCACGCACACACCGCCCGUCACCCUCCUCAAGUGACUAGCCCCUAAAGAAACCUAUUCAAACCACUACAUCCACAAGAGGAGACAAGUCGUAACAAGGUAAGCAUACUGGAAAGUGUGCUUGGAUGA
rnacentral:rRNA from 1 species